UACGUAGGGCGCAAGCGUUAUCCGGAAUUAUUGGGCGUAAAGAGCUCGUAGGCGGUUUGUCGCGUCUGCCGUGAAAGUCCGGGGCUCAACCUCGGAUCGGCCGUGGCGACUCGUGGGCUGGAGCACUGUAGAGGCGGGUGGAAUUCCGGGUGUAGCGGUGGAAUGCGUAGAGAUCCGGAAGAACACCAGUGGCGAAGGCGACCCGCUGGGCAGUGGCUGACGCUGAGGCGCGACAGCGUGGGGAGCAAACAGG
rnacentral:rRNA from 1 species